CAGCCAGUGGAAGAUGACAGCCCAAAAGCCCUGCCUGUGUUAGGGGAGCUAUCGAACUCGGAUAAUGACAUAAACGAGUCAGUGUUCAUCUGGGGAAUCUCAGACAAAGCAGCCCAGAGGAAAACCAUCUCUGUCGAUGAAGGUUUGUUUCACUUGCAACGGGAAAAUCAGCAGCAGCAGCAACCAGAGCCGGUGCUCAGGCUGGGGAGAGGGAAAGGGAAGCUGAAGCUGCCACAUGGUUCUGGAGCCUAAAUGGACUGGUAAUGAUAGAUGUGCUUUCUCUUCCAACUUGGAGUGUUGACUACAUUUGGCAACCUCCUGAAGGUGUUUCCUGAGAUACCUCCCCCAGAUCCCAGGGGGUAUAGGCUGUGACUCAUCCACUAGCUGCAUGCCAGGAACUUUGCAAACACUGUGCUAAAUACAUCAUAUUAAGUCUCCCAACAACCCUCAAGAGAGGACACACAGCAAACAGCUCUCACUCUGGAGACAGGAAGCUUGCCAAAGUGCAUCACAUCAGCAGGACGUGACUGGACUGUGUUUUGGAGUGACUAAAGAGGCAACAGCACCACGUCUAAGUUCUUUGUAGCUCUUAGCAGGUCACAGAAGAGAACCAGCUCUCUCUUACAACCCCGCCCGAUGGAGCUUGGAGUUUAUCUGUGGGACAGGAGCCACAAGGUAUGUUUCCCACAAGGAGUAUGACUGUGCUCCUGGCAAGGGCCGAAAAGGUGAUGGGACUGCUGCCGGGGAGGUCCUCCACGUCAGAGGACAGCAGAAAUUGAUAUUCCUGACAACCAGACACUCCUUGGGUGCCUCCACAACCCAGAAACCACUCACCAUCCACUGCACCAGUUUAAAAAUAUGAACACUUUAUUUCUGCUUCCCCACUGUCCUGACCCCAACAGCACAUGUGGCAACACAGCCAUUAUCACUAGUGCCAGGACCAAACUGGGAUGACACUGGCAGCAGGAGACUGCAGAGACAUGCUUACAAGCCAGAUGAUGGUCCAAGGGACUGUCAUUCAUGGAGGCUGACCUCUGCCCCAAUUAUUCCCCUAAGCUGUACAUAGUCAAAAGAAGCGAAAAGGAGUGGAAUCAGAAAGAGGAGGAAGGGAGAGGUCCAAGUGAAAAAUGCUGUGAGGAUGAGAAUGUAGACUAGACAUUGUCUAAGAUUUAAUAAACAGGACUGAGUUAAAAACAGAAAAACAGAAAUGACACCAAAAGAAGCUGCCUGCUUUAGGCAGAUGGAGAGUUCAGGGCCUAUAAAGGAACUUGCAGUUCUAAGGAUAAAGUGGGCUUUGCGUCUGAGCUUGACUUUACACCUCUUCCACACACAGAACCCCAAAUCUAGGUGCUGUAAAGAAGACUGGCAGAUUUAACGUGGAAAUUCAACCUCUGUGGAUUGAGAGGCACCCUCCAAAGUCGAACAGAUGAGUGAGGGAGUCGUAGAAUCUAUUUACAAUAUAUGCAUUCAAAAAUAUGUCAACAAAGAUGACCCAGAGGAGGGAGACAAUUAGGCAAGUCACAAAUGCAGACACAUGAAUGGCCAAGAAGCAUUAAGAAAAAAGCUUCGUUUCUCAAGGAUUGAUUGAAAUGAAAAUUAAAACAAGGAAAUAUCUUUUUUCACCUAUUAGACUAACAAAAGUGUAACUGAUUUUUAACAUCCAGUGUUGGUGUGAGAUUGGUGGUGGUUGGGGGAGAAGACACUCAUCUCAUGAUGCUGAGGUCCAAGUUAGAAUUCUGCAGUCUUUUCAGGGGCAAUUAAUAGUACCUGUUAGAAGUGAAGUGUGCUUGCCCUUUGAAAAACAUUCCACUUUCAUGAACCUGUCUUAUAGACAGUCUUCCAAGGGCAUAAGGAUAAACAUACAAGGAUAGUCACUGCUACAUGACUUGCAAUUGCAAGAAAUUAGAGACAACCUAACUGCUCAACAGUAGGGAAACUGUUAAAGAAAUUAUGGCAAAUCCACUCCAUUCCGUAUCUAGGAUUCAAUAUUCAAGAAUACUAUUCAGCUAUUAAAGAGAAUGAAGUACUUCUGUAUGAAUAACAGAGAAGCUUGUCCAAGACAAUUGUUGAGUGGCAAAAGCAAGGAGUUGAAUUUUCUAUGUGUCAGAACUUUUCCCAUUUCAUCUUCUGUAAUUAUAUGGCUCUAUGAUUGGUACUGUUGUCACCAUCCCCCAUCCCAUUUUAACCAAGGAGGCAAUCAAGGCCGAGAGAGACUAAGUAAAUUUCCAAGGUUGGCUUCAGAA